AGCUGGGUAGGUGACUUAACUAUCAGAUCAGGAAGUGGGAUGCCAUGACAAGCAGUGAGAGGAGGAAACAGGUACAAAAUGGCACUAAGUCUGCUGCAGUCCUCGGAAACAUGAAGAGAGACUGGUGGGGAAGGACCCCGUUGCUGGUGUUGGCGCUCAUCGCCUUUCUGGCUGGCAAUGCGCAGUGUCAGACUGAUGAGGAAGAAUCACCUGAUGAAGUGACACCAGAAGCAUUGGAUCAGAUCAACGAAGGAUCAGAUUAUGAUGGUGAUGUGGUCCCGACAAGUAAUGACAUGACCACACCAAGCAGUCUCUCAUCACAGACCACCUUAGUUGAAGGGCAUGGUUCUGGAGACGACAUAACAGAAGAAAGUAUGGAAGAGGAAUCCACCAACAUUUCAUCGGAUGGUCUAAAUCCCAUCAUUAUUUUGGUUCCGGUCAUCUUGGCGGUCGUGAUCAUAAUUUUUAUUGUGGCUGGUAUAAUGAUUUAUCGCAGAUUGAAUGGGAAAAUAAGCGAUUCUGAAAAUGGGAAACAAGAUCCUUAUUUGGAUGAUCACAGUUCUGAGAAAGUUCCAAUGCCUAUGUUUGAGGAGGAUGUGCCCUCUGUACUGGAGUUAGAGAUGGAAGAUCUUGAGCAAUGGAUGAAUAAAGAUGGUACGUCAUUCUUAUAAAACAAAAGGUGGUGCUGGAGUGAACUCUGGGCCAAUGUAAUCAUAUAUACGGGACGAGUGUCACAGACACUGUCAACUCUCUCUCACCCUGCACGCCCCUGCUGCCUGAGACUAAAGGAUGUGGUCCGAGCAGGCUACAGGAAAGGACCCUGUGUCCUUCAAUGCUGUGUGUAGUUGCUUGUUAUCAACUCUAUAAACGUUCAAAGCGUGUUAUGUUACAGUUAUGUUACUACACACCCAGGAAACCACAUUCCCAGGAAAUAACUCCACUGAGACUUCCUAAUGGGAGGACUAUUCUUAAAUUCCAAAUGUGAAAUCCCGGGUAACUCAAUUUGCACAAAUUAUAAGAAUAAGAUUACAGAUUAUGAGAACAAGAUUAUUUGAACAUAAAAUCAGUACCAUUCCCAGUACCAUGCUUAUAGCAAGUGGCAAUAGAUAUUUCACCAGUUGAAUUCUGGUUGCUUCUCCCUUGUAAUAUUAUAUUUAUUCAUUCUUGAGCCUGCAUUGUUCAUUGUUGUUCAUACCCUCUAGUUUGUGAUCAUGCUGAUUGCCUUUUAUUUUCAGUUGUCAUACUUACAAUUUAUGGUGCUUUGACCAUAUGUAAAUUGGUUUCAGGAAAUUGUCAGGAAAAACACAUCAAUAAAAUAGCUUUCUGCCACUA